CAGCAGUGGGGAAUAUUGGACAAUGGGCGCAAGCCUGAUCCAGCCAUGCCGCGUGUGUGAAGAAGGCCUUCGGGUUGUAAAGCACUUUUGUUGGGAAAGAAAUCCUGUCGGUUAAUACCCGGCGGGGCUGACGGUACCCAAAGAAUAAGCACCGGCUAACUUCGUGCCAGCAGCCGCGGUAAUACGAAGGGUGCAAGCGUUACUCGGAAUUACUGGGCGUAAAGCGUGCGUAGGUGGUUUGUUAAGUCAGAUGUGAAAGCCCCGGGCUCAACCUGGGAAUUGCAUUUGAUACUGGCAGACUAGAGUGCGGUAGAGGAGAGUGGAAUUCCCGGUGUAGCAGUGAAAUGCGUAGAGAUCGGGAGGAACAUCAGUUGCGAAGGCGGCUCUCUGGACCAGCACUGACACUGAGGCACGAAAGCGUGGGGAGCAAACAGGAUUAGAUACCCUGGUAGUCCACGCCCUAAACGAUGCGAACUGGACGUUGGGUGCAAUUGAGCAUUCAGUGUCGAAGCUAACGCG
rnacentral:rRNA from 1 species